AAUUGAAUCGAGCGGUCAGGUGCCCGGCCGUGGGCUUAAGAGGGAAUCCCGUGCGAAUCGGGAGCGGUCCCGCCGCUGUGAACGGGGACGAAAUCCGCGCAAAAGCCACUGCUUCUCUUUUUGAGAAGCGGGAAGGUGCGGAGAGUAGGGCGAUCCGUGAGCCAGAAGACCUGCCUGACCGAAGGGAAGCGG
rnacentral:ncRNA from 2 species